UGCAAGAAACUGACUCUGAGUGCCACUGAGUUGUUUAAGGGCCGCGGUAUUUUGACCGUGCGAAGGUAGCGUAAUCAUUAGGUUUUUAAUUGAAAUCUUGUAUGAAUGGUUAGACAAGAGAAAAUCUGUCUCUUUAUUAAAAAUUGAAUUUAACUUUUAAGUGAAAAGGCUUAAAUAAAUUAAAGGGACGAUAAGACCCUAUAAAGCUUAAUAUAAAAUAUUAUUUAGUCGAACUUUGAGUAAAGAUUUUAGAGUAUGUUUUAUUUUAUUGGGGUGAUAAAAGUAAAAUGUUUAUUAACUGCUUUCGUGAGAAAACAAUUAUAAUUGGAAUAAAUUUAUAAAAGAUCCUGAGUAGAGAUUAAAAGUUUAAGUUACUUUAGGGAUAACAGCGUUAUUUUUUUUGAGAGUACAUAUCGAAAAAAGAGUUUGCGACCUCGAUGUUGAAUUAAAAUUUCUUUAUACAAGCAGAAACUAUUAAAGUUGGUCUGUUCUACCUUUAUAAAUAUACGUGAGCUGAGUUCAGACCGGCGAAACUUUCCUC
rnacentral:rRNA from 2 species